CCUGGCUUUGGCAGCUGGGGUGUCUUGGGUCUCAGGACAUGGUGAAUGGAGAGGGGUCUGUGAGUGGGGUGCCAGGCCAUUGUGGUUGGAAGAGUUCCCAUCAACUCCCUGGACUUCUUAUGUUUCUGUCCUGUGUCCCCUGCUUCUGAGCCAUGCUCCAUGGCAGCUCAUGAGACCUCAGUCCUGAGGGCCACAGACCAUGGGUCCGUCACAUCCUUUUGGGGAGUCUUGUCAUCUGAUCAGCCAAUGAAGGGGACAGCAAGGUGUUGAACUCUGAGGAGGAUCCCCUGGUGGUCUCCUUUGACCUCAUCACAUGACCUGCAUAGAUGAAACACUGGCUCUGUUUGCUUCUCUAUUCCUUCCCAGCUCUCUCUGUGGAUGUUCUUGGCUCACUUCCACUUGGACAUCGUUGCACACUGGACUCCCUCUGGAGCAAAGAGCCAGAUGCUAAUGAAGUCACCACCAGGCUCCCUGGAGGCUUCUGGAGGCACUAGUCAAGACUGGCAGUCUGGUCCAGCAGCCUGCAUCUGCAGUCUCCCGAGGGCUCCUGAGUCUUGUGACUCGGGGCAGGCCAUGAGUGCACCCAGAUUUGUUUUCUUUCUCUUCUUAUCCACAGAUCUGCAGCUCUGCACCCUCCUGCAUCAUGUGCAACCCGUGUGGAUGGUUACUGUCAGGAUGAGCCUCCUGCUCAGUGUCCAGCCAAGGGCCCCCAGCAUCUGCAUCCUGUCCCAUGGAAGGUCUAUCCCGGGGGAAGGUUCUCAUACUCUGCUCACAGUCACCAUGGGGAGGUCUCUGCCACAGUCAAAUGCAAGCUUGAUUCAAAUGCUGAGCCCAGUGAUGGACUAACAGCCAGCCAGAGACCAUCACUCAAGAUUGUUAAUGCCAUAAGAGACAUCUUUUACUCAUCCAGACACCGUGAAUGAUGGGUAGUGUGCCUUGGAGACAUAUGCUGUUGGGAUCAACAUGGUCUCUGCAGGGUGUGACUGAUGGUGCACCGGAUGAAAGCUCCUUGCUCAGCACCGGGAGGCUAGCUGGCCAGAGCAGCCUCCAGACACAACGACAGCCCCCCAUUCCAGGCCCAGGUGGCCCAGGGCCGUCUUGAUCCUCUGUGCAGACCACCAUGGAAAGUUCUGUUCGUUUUAACUGCCAGAAGCUUCCUCCAGGGGUGUUUUCAGUCUUACCAGAUGGCAACUAACACUUACCAAGGAUGUCCUCUGUACUCCAAGCAGCUGACAGAUCCCUUUCCGUGUGGGGCACUUGUGAAUCCUUAAGCAACCUUGGGAGUCACAAGCUCCUAGCCCCCCAUUUUAUAGACUGGGAAACUAAGGCAGGAGCUGGCCAGUUUCACUGUCACUGGACCCAGGCUGUCACUUUCUCCCCACAAGGCUGUCCCUAAGCAUCCCCAAAGCCUUUCCUGAGAUGGCCUGGGCGCUCCAAGGAUGCUUCUGUCCUGCUUGUUCGCCCCAUCAUCCAGAAAGAGCUGGGGUCUGCUGAGGUCUUGGGGACUCCUCUGGGAGGAAGAAGAAGCAGAGAUAAUGAUGACUGGGGGGUGGUUGGAGUUCAGAGGGAAUCUUAUCUCCAGAAUUGAGGAAUGAGAAAAGGUGGCCGCAGCGAGGUGGGAACCUGGGUGAGGGGCAGCCUUUCAUGGUCUACCCCGGAGACAUUGGCCUUCUGGGUUACAUCGGAUUGAUCCAUCCACCCAACAGGUACUUGGUGAGCAGAUAUCCGCUUUGUGUGGGUGUGUGGGGUCCUCAGGGAGAGUAGCAGGAGACACUAGAAUCCGUCGUUUAGGCCUUUUUGGUGGAGGAGUCCAUUGGAACCCCUCACAGGAGUGUUUUCCAUGUGCAACUGGCCACAGCCAGACCUGAUCCUCCUCUGCAGUGACCCCACCUUGCUGGCUGUGGAGAAGCUCCUACAGAUUGAGCCCAGGAUUCGAACGAAGAGGCUUCCUUGAGCAGUACACCUUAACGUGAUGUCAUUCUAGACUUGGAAGGAAGCCACUUCCUGCACUGAAGCUGGCAUUGGGAUCAGCAUAGUUCCUGUGCGGCUUUGGCUAAGGCCUCAGGAAGGUCUGGGGCUAGCCUAGUUCUCACUUCUGCUCUUCAGGCACUCGACGGCUGGGCUCCUCUUCUUGAUGUCUUUUCCAGGAAAGUGUCUCUUUCAGAAGCCUUCCGUCCCGUCUCUCACCUUACUUGGGUGGCCCACUCCCUUUGAGAGGUCUUGCUUGUGUGCUGUCCUAUGGACCGUGGCUUUCCUGUCACUCCCCUCCCCUGCAGCUCAUGAGUCAGAUGUCCCCCUCCACCCAAAGGCCAGCCAGAUGCUCUGUCUCUAUUUUCUUGGGGGCCUCCUCCACCUGGCUUUGGUGCUUCCCAGGCAGAAGAAGGAAGGGACUGCUCCAUUCUGGUUUCCAGACCUUACUGAGGGUCCCUGCUGUUUCCAGGGGCCUGAGGACCAGCUUGGGGGGGGGGGCACCAUGCUGGCUCCUUCACUGUUAGGUCCUCCUGCCUGGCCCUAUGUGUGGCAUCCAGGCUGGCCACAGGGUUUGCUGAAGUGAAAGUAGGGCCCUUUUGUUUAUUCAUUAUCAAGAACUGUAACAUGGUGAUCAGAGGUCAUGACACCAGCUCACAGCUCACAGCCAGCAUGGCCUCAGUUCACAAGCCAAAGCAGGUCCAGGGAGGGGCCUCUCAGGGGUCUGUACUGGCCAGGGACUCAGUACUGGGGGCAUCCACUGCCUGGGUUUAAGACCUGCAGGCCUCUUUUGUUGUCUAAAUCCUGCAGGCCUCAGGCAGCCAUGUUGUCAAAAAUCCCCAAGGGCAGGCUCCUUGUUAUAGGAGACUUUCUCACCAGGCUGUCCCUUCUCACCCUAGGACUCCAAGAGGGGCCCCUUUCCAAUGUCCUUCCCCAAACUCUGCCUCUCACGCUUCACCUCAGACUCCCUGGGUCCUCUGGAAGCCAGCCUUUAGGAGAGCAAGAAAGCCUGCCCUACUAUCCCACAGAUCCACUGCCACUCUGGGUGAAAGCUGCAUUGCUCCGAUUUUUCAGAUAAGGAAACUGAGGCCACAAAGAGCAGCAAUCCAUUGAAACCAUUGAAAGGCCCAGAGGCAGAGUGUUUGGAGCUUUUCCUUGUGUGAGGAGAGGGUGGCUGGUCCUUUGGGGACAGGAAAAUGCAGCUGGGAGGUCUCCUGAACAGCCCCUGGGCCAUGAACUUGGGUACAGUGACCAGCAGUUGCCUAGUCCUCAGCCCUGCCUGGGGCUGGGAGGUGUCCACUGUGAAGGACUAAGAGACUUGUGUCAGGAUAAAGGGUGGGUGGACCCCCCCCCCCCAGGAGGAAAGGGUGAGAGCGUUUUCUAGUCCCAAAUUUCACUUAUGCACUCAACAAAGUUGCAACAUCAGGGGAUCCCCUGGUUCUGGGUUCAAAAUAAGAGGGUGAAAAAGCCUAGAAGCCAAAUCUGAACUCUCAGGGUGCUGUAUUUGGGGGGGGGGGGGAGGGGGCAGGCAAGACCCAGCGUAAAUCAAGACUCUGUGUGUGUGUGUGUGUGUGUGUGUGU